rnacentral:snRNA from 1 species
GAGCCGUGUGAUAAGUUCAAAGCGAACUAUUCUUUCGCCUUUUACUAAAGAAUACCGUGUACUUUUCACAAAUGCGGCAUAUGCAUAUUUUUUUAUAUGGAUCUUCAAUAGAUCCUG